CAUGCAGUGAUUUCAGGGCAAUAUCCUGAAAGCAGAGCUGGGGUGAGUGCCUGGGUAUGCGAGAGCGUCACCCGGAGACACACCAACAUGUGCAAGAAUGAGGUAAGGAGCGCACCGGGGCCAGGAACAUGCUGAACCCAAGAGCAUACAGGUGCUGACAGGCUGGUGCACAGCUGAGGUGGCGAAGCAGUGAGCAGUGGAAAGCCAGAGAGGCAUGAGUGUACCAGAGGUCAGCGCACAUCAGAGAUCAACACCCAGGCCAGUGAUCCAUCCAGCUGACUCCAAGGGUGAAUCACGCAGAAAAGCAGAGACCAGAAUGGUGGUUACCAGGUGCUGGGAGACAAGGCACUGGGGAGAGAGAUAUUACAAGAUGCUUUAUGAUUGCUCCAUGAUGAAGACCAAUGUGUGAUCUGGCCCACUUACAGCAGAACUGUUAAAAACCAGGAUUCCUGAGCAAUACAACAGACCACCACAACCAAGAUAUAGGAGAUGGAUGAAGAAAUCUGCAUGUAACAAAUUCUCAGGGGAUUCCUAUGCACCCUCAAGAUUGAAAGUCACUGAGCAAAGUCCAAACUCUUUAAUCAGGCUUCAUGGCCUCUACAAUAUGCCUUUUGAGUCACAUUCCCACAAACUCUCUGCCUCCACAUCACUGGCUGACAUCUGGUCCCAGAAUACAGGUGAGCCACUGGGAUAAGAGCAGGCAUCACACACCUACCCUGACAGGGCCCCUACAAAGAACCACUAUGAUUGUUAUUUUGUGGUUGAAGAUACUGAGGUUUACAGAGGUCCAGUGACUUGGCCAACAUCACAGAGCAAGUGUGUGGCAGAGGUCAGAUUCAAAUCCACAUCAAUGGGAUUUCAAGAGUCCUCAUUCUUAACCACCCUGAUAUACCACACUUUAUGUUCCCUCAAAUGUCCUCAUACCUGUGUCCACUGCUCAGCUGUCCCCUCAGCCUCACAUGCUCAGGACACUCUAAUCUUUUGCAAACAUAGAAUGUAAAUAUCCUGCUGGACCCUUAAACUUUCACAAAUCCCACUAAAGAGUAUUUACUAUUCCCAGAUCCUGUGUACCAACAGCCUUUUGUCAAUAGCACCAUUUUUGACUGUUAAAAUGACCUUGCGAAUAUUUGUUUAUGUUCCAAUGUCCUUUACUAGCCUUUUUUUAAAAAAAUCCUAAAACGACAAAACAAAUUGCUAAGACACAGAAGGAUUUUAGGGCAGUAAAAUUUUUCUAUGUGAUCCUACAAUGGUGGAUACAUGUCAUUUCAUGCUUGUCCAAAGCCAUAGAAGGUACAACACAGGGAGUGAACCCUAGUAUCAACUAUGUCUUGAGUGAUAAUGAUGUGUCAGUGUGGGUUCAGUGCUUGUAACAAAUGUACCCCUCUGGUAGGGAUGCUGAUAGGAGGGGAGGCUGUGCAUGUGUGAGGCAAG
rnacentral:lncRNA from 1 species